UCAGGACUAAUUGAAAAUGACAGGUAGGAAUUUGAUGAGGGUGGAAGUAAAAUCUGAAGUCCUCUGCUGUAAUGUUUUUCAGCAGGUGGCAGUAAAGCGCUCGAGGAACGACUGCUUCAGAAGAAGAAGAAGAAGAAGAAGAAGAAGAAGAGCUCUGCUGCUGAAGUACAAGCCUGUUUGUCUGUUUGAUAGAUGCACGUUUUUCUCCUCUGAAUUCCUUUCGGAACGAGUUUAUGCUCCAGUCCAGGUCGAUGAUUCAUCAGGAACACAUUCAAACACUGAGUGUAAGAUAAUGAAUGUCUCCAUUUCAUGGUCCAGAAGACUCAAGAGAUGUCCUCAUUACCAGGAUCUGAGUGCUCAUGCUACGAGGAUUUUUAAUGGACUUUUUUUUGUUUAAAUGUGUACAGUUAUACAGUACAAUAACUUGGCAUAAGUGUCAUGAAGAUCUUGAUGUUUUCGCUCCAUCUCUGAUCUCACACCAGUUUAUUCUCCAGCUGUUCAAUCCUCUUCAUCAUGGUGUCUAGUGGUAAGCUGUUAAGAAAUGUACAUUUUUGGUGAGAGAUAUUUGAUGUUAAAAAAAAAUAAAAGGUGAUUGAUAAAAGUU